GACGAACCGAGCGAACGUUGUUCGGAAUCACUGGGCUUAAAGGGCGCGUAGGCGGGCCGCCGCGUCCGGGGUGAAAUCCUCCCGCUCAACGGGAGAACGGCCUCGGAUACGGGCGGCCUGGAGGGGGGUAGGGGCGUGCGGAACUGUGGGUGGAGCGGUGAAAUGCGUUGAUAUCCACAGGAACGCCGGUGGCGAAGGCGGCACGCUGGACCCCACCUGACGCUGAGGAGCGAAAGCGUGGGGAGCGAACAGG
rnacentral:rRNA from 1 species